rnacentral:rRNA from 1 species
GACGUAGGGCGCGAGCGUUGUCCGGAUUUAUUGGGCGUAAAGAGCUCGUAGGCGGCUUGUCGCGUCGUCCGUGAAAACCCACAGCUCAACUGUGGGCUUGCGGUCGAUACGGGCGGGCUAGAGUUCGGUAGGGGAGACUGGAAUUCCUGGUGUAGCGGUGAAAUGCGCAGAUAUCAGGAGGAACACCGGUGGCGAAGGCGGGUCUCUGGGCCGAUACUGACGCUGAGGAGCGAAAGCGUGGGGAGCAAACAGG